GAUGAACGCUGGCGGCGUGCCUAACACAUGCAAGUCGAGCGAACGCACCGGAAGCUUGCGCUCCUGAGGGUGGCGGGGGGCGGACGGGUAACACGUGGAUCACCUACCUCUAAGACUGGGGUAAUAACGGGAGACAAGAGCUAAUACUGGCUGAUAUUUCGAACCGGAUGGUUCAAAAGUUCAAGACGGUCUUUCUGUCAGUAAUAGCCGAUGUCGCCGUGGAUUAGCUAGUUGGUAAGGUAACGGCUAACCAAGGCUACGAUGCAUAGCCGGUCUGAUAGGGUGAUCGGCCACACUGGAACUGAGACACGGUCCAGACUCCUACGGGAGGCAGCAGUAGGGAAUCUUCCGCAAUGGGCGAAAGCCUGACCGAGCAACACCGCGUGAGUGAUGAAGGUCUUCGGAUCGUAAAGCUCUGUUGUUAGGAGAGAACAUAAGCGUAUUUAACUGUGCACAUCUUGACGGUACCUAAACAAAAAGCCCCGGCUAACUACGUG
rnacentral:rRNA from 1 species